GCAAGCCCCGUGGCAAUUUGGGAGAUGAGUGUUUCCAAAUUGAACCCGCUUACUGGGAGGUGUAACUCAGCUCAGAGCGAAGUGUGCGGCCCCUUCUCCAAAGAGAAGAGAGCCUUUUUAGAAAGGGGGAGGGGACGGUAGGAAGGAAGGAUAGAAUGAAUAAAUAAAAGAAGGAAUAUUAAAGAGUGGAGAGGAUGUUAAAGAGGGAAAGGGGUUUUCUCUUUCCUUUCUCUUCCUGGUGACUUGGGCCCCCAGAAUCUCGCUGGAGAGUCACGCAGAGUGCAGAGGCGUGUGCCCAAUUGCCAGUAACUGCUUCAAAAACCCAUGCUCAUCUCUUAGCUCCACUCUUAGGCACAGCCAAAACUGAUCAGAAAAAUGGGGAAAGUGGGACACGGGUUUCGAAGGAGGGAAAUGAAAGAAGGGACCAUCCACAUCCUCCCUCUUCAGCUUCUCCCCUACAUUCUUCGGGCGAAUCGGAGAGGCGGGCGCUGCGCUGGGGAAAGUUUGUCCCACCCGCAUUUCGCAGCUGGCUGCGAGGAGAGGAGGAGGAGCGGGAAGGUAGAGCUCGGAGCCUGCCGCAGCAAGGAUAACUGAGCCAGCGCCGCGCUUACCUCGCAGUCCUCGUACUUGAUAUUAUCCGUCAGUUUCCAAAGCAUUUUCAUGGAUCGGCGUGAACGGAUUUGCCCCCUGUCCGCCUCGCACCCAAGUGGAGCUACUCUCUGGCUCUUUACCAACGGCCUAAUCGCCUCAUUAGCAUAUCAACAAUAGUCCAAUUGCUCGCCAGCACCACAAUCUGCCGCCGGCCGCUCCAACCCAGGUAUAAAGGCCUCUCCGAGCCGCGAACUUGCUUCUAGAGCACACGCCUGCCUGUGAGCCGACGAAAUCUCCCCUGAGCCCCGCCGCGCGCCCCUGCCCCAGCGCCGCCUCCCGCCCCCCCGCCCUUCAUUCCACCCCAUUCCUCUAACUCUCCGUCUUCUCCUCGCGGGAGACGUCCUCCGCAAAAGCCAGGCAUUGCGCAGGGUCCGAGAGGUCGCUCCUAGAGCCCGGCUUCCAGCACCUCUCCCCCACCCCUGCCACCACUAACGGCGCUGUCCUUUCGGCCCUGUCCAAUUUUAUGAGAAAUUAUUAUCCCUUUCGCAAUUAAAUAUAACCACCAAACCAAGACCGGCGAAGUUACUCCAGGAUUUUUGCCCAAAAAGAGAUCGCCUCCCCUCGCGGCAGCCGCCACCUCCGGCCGCAGCGCUUUGGGAGUUUUAUUGGCUUUGCGCUUUCCCCCCAGGUUGGAGAUUUUACCAAACGGCUCCAGUCGCUCGGCUGGGGUUUGCGAUCCUUUAAUUGCCGCGUGUAAAAUAAAAAUUGUACCCUGAAGAGGUUACUUGACAGCUCCAGGGGUUAAA